CCUACGGGUGGCAGCAGUGGGGAAUAUUGCGCAAUGGGCGAAAGCCUGACGCAGCGACGCCGCGUGAAGGAUGAAGGUCUUCGGAUCGUAAACCUCUGUCAGCAGGGAAGAACGGUCACUGUGCUAAUCAGCAGUGAAUUGACGGUACCUGCAAAGGAAGCACCGGCUAACUCCGUGCCAGCAGCCGCGGUAAUACGGAGGGUGCGAGCGUUAAUCGGAAUUACUGGGCGUAAAGCGCUCGUCGGCGGUAUGUCAAGUCAAGGGUGAAAUCCCCGCGCUCAACGUGGGAACUGCCUUUGAAACUGGCAAACUGGAGUGUGUGAGAGGAUAGUGGAAUUCCAGGUGUAGGAGUGAAAUGCGUAGAUAUCUGGAGGAACAUCAGUGGCGAAGGCGACUAUCUGGCACAUAACUGACGCUGAGGAGCGAAAGCGUGGGUAGCAAACAGGAUUAGAUACCCUUGUAGUC
rnacentral:rRNA from 1 species